GACAGAGGUGCCAAGCGUUAGGCGGAAUCACUGGGCUUAAAGCGUGUGUAGGCGGACCGUUAAGUACCUUGUGAAAUCCCACGGCUCAACCGUGGAACGGCUGGGUAUACUGGCGGUCUUGGGCCACCUAGGGUCAUCGGAACAGGCGGUGGAGCGGUGAAAUGCGUAGAUAUCGCCUGGAACGCCGACGGUGAAACAGAUGACUGGGGUGUGCCGACGCGUGAGACACGAAAGCCAGGGGAGCGAACGGG
rnacentral:rRNA from 1 species